UGGGGUUCAGGGGAUCCUUAUGUUGAGGAAGAGGGAGGCUGUCUACAGUGUUACCACCAGCUCCAUUCUGGCAUCUCUGCCUUCCACGCACCCUUCGUUUUAGAGGCCUUGUAAGGACAAAAGGGAGUCAUAUUUGGCCGGAGGAGCGAUGGACCAGCAGGACCAUUCCGUUUUGUGGGUGAUGGCACACUGAGGCAUGCCGUGCUUAUGUGAUGGUCAAUAUGAAAGACAUGAGCUCUGGGAGACUAAGGAGACAAUGAGAUGGCAUAUAAACAGAGAGAUAAAUGUAGAAGACCUGCCCUAAACACAGCACUCUUCCUCUGAAACGUCUUGGUUCUUGGAUAUGACUAUCCCCAGUGUGGCUGGUUGAAUAGCUCUUCCGCUGGCUCCUGUUGAUUUUAGAAACAUCUGAGAAGAACAGAGAGAACAUUCCCAGGCUGUCCAGUGAA